rnacentral:tRNA from 1 species
UAGCUCAGUCUGUUGAGCGUGGCGCUAACAACGCUAAGGUCACGGGUUCAAUUCCUGCU